rnacentral:rRNA from 1 species
AAAUUGAAGAGUUUGAUCAUGGCUCAGAUUGAACGCUGGCGGCAGGCCUAACACAUGCAAGUCGAACGGUAACAGGAAGAAGCUUGCUUCUUUGCUGACGAGUGGCGGACGGGUGAGUAAUGUCUGGGAAACUGCCUGAUGGAGGGGGAUAACUACUGGAAACGGUAGCUAAUACCGCAUAACGUCGCAAGACCAAAGAGGGGGACCUUCGGGCCUCUUGCCAUCGGAUGUGCCCAGAUGGGAUUAGCUAGUAGGUGGGGUAACGGCUCACCUAGGCGACGAUCCCUAGCUGGUCUGAGAGGAUGACCAGCCACACUGGAACUGAGACACGGUCCAGACUCCUACGGGAGGCAGCAGUGGGGAAUAUUGCACAAUGGGCGCAAGCCUGAUGCAGCCAUGCCGCGUGUAUGAAGAAGGCCUUCGGGUUGUAAAGUACUUUCAGGGGGGAGGAAGGGAGUAAAGUUAAUACCUUUGCUCAUUGACGUUACCCGCAGAAGAAGCACCGGCUAACUCCGUGCCAGCAGCCGCGGUAAUACGGAGGGUGCAAGCGUUAAUCGGAAUUACUGGGCGUAAAGCGCACGCAGGCGGUUUGUUAAGUCAGAUGUGAAAUCCCCGGGCUCAACCUGGGAACUGCAUCUGAUACUGGCAAGCUUGAGUCUCGUAGAGGGGGGUAGAAUUCCAGGUGUAGCGGUGAAAUGCGUAGAGAUCUGGAGGAAUACCGGUGGCGAAGGCGGCCCCCUGGACGAAGACUGACGCUCAGGUGCGAAAGCGUGGGGAGCAAACAGGAUUAGAUACCCUGGUAGUCCACGCCGUAAACGAUGUCGACUUGGAGGUUGUGCCCUUGAGGCGUGGCUUCCGGAGCUAACGCGUUAAGUCGACCGCCUGGGGAGUACGGCCGCAAGGUUAAAACUCAAAUGAAUUGACGGGGGCCCGCACAAGCGGUGGAGCAUGUGGUUUAAUUCGAUGCAACGCGAAGAACCUUACCUGGUCUUGACAUCCACAGAACUUUCCAGAGAUGGAUUGGUGCCUUCGGGAACUGUGAGACAGGUGCUGCAUGGCUGUCGUCAGCUCGUGUUGUGAAAUGUUGGGUUAAGUCCCGCAACGAGCGCAACCCUUAUCCUUUGUUGCCAGCGGUCCGGCCGGGAACUCAAAGGAGACUGCCAGUGAUAAACUGGAGGAAGGUGGGGAUGACGUCAAGUCAUCAUGGCCCUUACGACCAGGGCUACACACGUGCUACAAUGGCGCAUACAAAGAGAAGCGACCUCGCGAGAGCAAGCGGACCUCAUAAAGUGCGUCGUAGUCCGGAUUGGAGUCUGCAACUCGACUCCAUGAAGUCGGAAUCGCUAGUAAUCGUGGAUCAGAAUGCCACGGUGAAUACGUUCCCGGGCCUUGUACACACCGCCCGUCACACCAUGGGAGUGGGUUGCAAAAGAAGUAGGUAGCUUAACCUUCGGGAGGGCGCUUACCACUUUGUGAUUCAUGACUGGGGUGAAGUCGUAACAAGGUAACCGUAGGGGAACCUGCGGUUGGAUCACCUCCUUACCUUAAAGAAGC